rnacentral:rRNA from 1 species
UACGUAGGGUCCGAGCGUUGUCCGGAAUUACUGGGCGUAAAGAGCUCGUAGGUGGUUCGUCGCGUUGUUCGUGAAAACUCACAGCUCAACUGUGGGCGUGCGGGCGAUACGGGCAGACUAGAGUACUGCAGGGGAGACUGGAAUUCCUGGUGUAGCGGUGGAAUGCGCAGAUAUCAGGAGGAACACCGGUGGCGAAGGCGGGUCUCUGGGCAGUAACUGACGCUGAGGAGCGAAAGCGUGGGGAGCGAACAGG